UCAGACGAUGCGUCAUGCAUAUCAAUAAGCGGAGGAAAAGAAACUAACAAGGAUUCCCUUAGUAACGGUGAGUGAAGCGGGAAGAGCUCAAAUUUGAAAUCUUCAAGGUUUUACCUUGACGAAUUGUAGUUUAAAGAAGUGUUUUCUGUUGAAGUUUUGGUAAAAGUUCUUUGGAAUAGGACAUCAUAGAGGGUGAGAAUCCCGUAUUUGACCAUUAUUUUCAGCUUUGUGAUACACUUUCAAAGAGUCGGAUUGUUUGGGAAUGCAGUCCAAAAUGGGUGGUAAAUUUCAUCUAAAGCUAAAUAUUGGCGAGAGACCGAUAGCGAACAAGUACCGUGAGGGAAAGAUGAAAAGAACUUUGAAAAGAGAGUUAAACAGUACGUGAAAUUGUCAAAAGGGAAGCGUUUGACACCAGUGUUGUUUUCUCGAAAAUCAAUUAAAAAGAGUUAGAUUUUGUUGUGUAUUGACCUUAACAGCUUGCAUUUCAAUUUUCUUGCUUUUUUUAAUGCACUUUUCGUUUAACAAGUCAACAUCAGUUUCUUUUGUUGUAAAAAGGUCAUUGGAAGGUGGCUUUCUUUUCGGAGAAAGUGUUUAUAGCCUUUGACUCCUGCAAUCGAGAGACUGAGGUCUGCAGCGUAGAUCCUUCGGGGUUAGAUACAUUUGUGCUAAGUUAUAGCUUUUUAUAGACAACUUGUUGACUAUGAUUAGUCUUGUAGCUUACUCGCUUAUGCUAUUUUACCUACGCUUAGGAUGUUGAGUCGUAGAGCACGCAG
rnacentral:rRNA from 1 species